rnacentral:misc_RNA from 1 species
GGAAUAAAAGUCGUAACAAGGUUUCCGUAGGUGAACCUGCGGAAGGAUCAUUCAUAAUAAGUGUUUUACUGCACUUUUUAAAAAUAGUACUCACCUUGUGUGCAAUGUUGUGUUUCUUUUCGGAGAAACACCUACACCAACCUAUAGCCUUGAACCACUUUGUCUGAAAAACUAUUAUGAAUACUUAAUUCAAAAUACAACUUUCAACAACGGAUCUCUUGGCUCUC